GAAAGGUGGCAGAGUGGUCGAAUGCGGCAGACUCGAAAUCUGUUAUAGGACCUGUUCCUAUCAAGGGUUCAAAUCCCUUCCUUUCC
rnacentral:tRNA from 1 species